rnacentral:rRNA from 1 species
CCUACGGGGGGCAGCAGUGAGGAAUAUUGGUCAAUGGACGAGAGUCUGAACCAGCCAAGUAGCGUGAAGGAUGACUGCCCUAUGGGUUGUAAACUUCUUUUAUAUGGGAAUAAAACGUUCCACGUGUGGGAUUUUGUAUGUACCAUAUGAAUAAGGAUCGGCUAACUCCGUGCCAGCAGCCGCGGUAAUCCGGAGGAUCCGAGCGUUAUCCGGAUUUAUUGGGUUUAAAGGGAGCGUAGGUGGAUUGUUAAGUCAGUUGUGAAAGUUUGCGGCUCAACCGUAAAAUUGCAGUUGAAACUGGCAGUCUUGAGUACAGUAGAGGUGGGCGGAAUUCGUGGUGUAGCGGUGAAAUGCUUAGAUAUCACGAAGAACUCCGAUUGCGAAGGCAGUUCACUGGACUGCAACUGACACUGAGGCUCGAAAGUGUGGGUAUCAAACAGGAUUAGAUACCCGAGUAGUC